CAGUAACACGUAGUCAAUCUAACCUAUGGAUGAGGAUAACCUCGGGAAACUGAGAAUAAUACUCAAUAGAUCAUUAUACCUGGAACGGUUUAUGGUUCAAAUGAAUUUCGCCAUAGGGUGGGACUGCGGUCUAUCAGCUUGCUGGUGAGGUAAUGGCCCACCAAGGCUAUAACAGGUACGGGCUCUGAGAGGAGAAGCCCGGAGAUGGGUACUGAGACACGGACCCAGGCCCUAUGGGGCGCAGCAGGCGAGAAAACUUUGCAAUGUGCGAAAGCACGACAAGGUUAAUCCGAGUGAUUCCUGCUAAAGGAAUCUUUUGUUAGUCAUAAUACCACCGAUGAAUAAGGGGUGGGCAAGUUCUGGUGUCAGCCGCCGCGGUAAAACCAGCACCUCAAGUGGUCAGGAGGAUUAUUGGGCCUAAAGCAUCCGUAGCCUGCUCUGUAAGUUUUCGGUUAAAUCUAUAUGCUCAACAUAUAGGCUGCCGGAAAUACUGCAGAGCUAGGAAGUGGGAGAGGCAGACGGUACUCCGUAGGAAGGGGUAAAAUCCUUUGAUCUAUGGAUGACCACCUGUGGCGAAGGCUGCUGUCUAAAACACGUCUGACGGUCAGGGACGAAAGCUGGGGUAGCGAACCGGAUUAGAUACCCGGGUAGUCCCAGCCGUAAACGAUGCAUGCUAGGUGUUGGGUUGGCCACGAGCCACCCCAGUGCCGCAGGGAAGCCGUUAAGCAUGCCGCCUGGGAGGUACGAUCGCAAGGUUGAAACUUAAAGGAAUUGGCGGGGGAGCACCACCAGGCGUGAAGCCUGCGGUUU
rnacentral:rRNA from 1 species